rnacentral:rRNA from 1 species
UACGGAGGAUGCGAGCGUUAUCCGGAUUUAUUGGGUUUAAAGGGUGCGUAGGUGGCUUUUUAAGUCAGUGGUGAAAGUUUGUCGCUCAACGAUAAAAUUGCCAUUGAAACUGGAGAGCUUGAGUAUGUUUGAGGUAGGCGGAAUGCGUGGUGUAGCGGUGAAAUGCUUAGAUAUCACGCAGAACUCCGAUUGCGAAGGCAGCUUACUAAACCAUAACUGACACUGAAGCACGAAAGCGUGGGUAUCAAAC